rnacentral:rRNA from 1 species
AUGAGCGGAUAUGUAUUCACUCAUGGAGGUGGCGCUGUUUCUUGGAAGUCUUGCAAGCAGACCAUCUUAACGAGCUCAACAAUGGAAGCAGAACUCACAGCACUAGAUACAGCUACGGUCGAAGCAGAUUGGCUUCGCCGGCUCUUGAAUGACUUGUCGGUUGUUGAGAAACCUGUACCGGGUAUCCUAAUGAACUGUGAUAAUCAAACUGUGAUCACGAAAGUGAAUAGUUCAAAGGAUAACAUGAAGUCAUCAAGACAUGUUCAGAGAAGGUUAAAGUCUAUCAGAAAAAUGAAAAACUCUGGAGUUAUUGCAUUGGACUAUAUCCAAACGUCUAAAAAUCUGGCAGAUCCUUUUACUAAGGGUCUAUCACGUAAUGUGAUAGAUAAUGCAUCGAGGGAGAUGGGAAUGAGACCCACAAUAUGA